UACGGGGGGGGCAAGCGUUGUUCGGAAUUACUGGGCGUAAAGGGCUCGUAGGUGGCCAACUAAGUCAGACGUGAAAUCCCUCGGCUUAACCGGGGAACUGCGUCUGAUACUGGAUGGCUUGAGUUCGGGAGAGGGAUGCGGAAUUCCCGGUGUAGUGGUGAUAUGCGUAGAUAUCGGGAGGAACACCUGUGGCGAAGGCGGCUUUCUGGGCCUUACCUGACGCUGAGACGCGAAAGCGUGGGGAGCGAACCGG
rnacentral:rRNA from 1 species